rnacentral:rRNA from 1 species
ACCUGGUUGAUCCUGCCAGUAGUCAUAUGCUUGUCUCAAAG